rnacentral:lncRNA from 1 species
AUGCCAAUCCAGACACAGUAUCCACAAUAUCAUCCAGUAGAAAAUAAGACCCAACUGCCAGUAGUUUAUCAAUACUGGCCACCUCCGAGGUUCAACACAGACCUCAAGCGGUGUGUCCGGUGCCAAACAGCGCGGUACAAUACGAGCAACCCGAGGCGAUGGUGUUCAAUCCUACAGCACCGCCUAGUGGACAAGAUGGAACUCUGUCUUCGAAAAAGAAACAAUCAAUCAAAAUGUGGUUUUGAGACAUUUGGAUGUGGGAGUUCUUCUUGCAGGCCAGAUGUCAUACCCUUGCCUGAGACGGUGGUGGGGCCAGCAAGGAGAUGGUGGCCCUCAUGCUGCCCCAGUCUCACUCUUACAGACUCACCCCCAAUCUGGCCCACGAUGCAAUGCGACUACAGAGAAGUGGAACAUACUCACUUUAGGUACUGCUGAUACUCAUGCGCAUUCUUCCCAUGAACAGCAUGGACUCUGUUCAUUCUUCCCAUGAACAGAAUUCUUCCCAUUGACCAACUGCAGCGUAAUGAGGAACCGGAUCAGGCUGAGCACAGGGGAGAGUAGUCUGAUACUAAAAACAGAUGAAAGUAAAUUCAAACGUGAGGAAUGUUAGUAUUUUCCACCUUCAUCAGGAAAAAGAUGUUUCACCUCAUCAACAUCCUUAAGUCCCAACUUCUCAAAAAAUAAUUUUCCUAAUCCUCAGAGCCCAAUGCCUGCUUCCAGCCCCCAGGCCCCUGGGUGGCAGGAGUGCCCAGUGUAGCCCUUGCUCCUGGCCCAUCCUGCACGUCUGCAUUCCUUGCUCAUCAGUCAUCAUCUGAGACUCUCAGACAUCUGACGGUCUACGUCAGGGCUGCCAGGGGCUCUGCACACUCACGGGGCACCAGGCAGGCCCAGUCUGCACCCAGCAGCCCCCCUGCGCCCUGCCCUCUGACAUCUAGGGAGGGACUCUCACUAGAGGAAAACAAAUGGCCUCAAUACAAAAGCAGGCUCAAUGCCACCAGAUUAAAGAAAUCCCAACUAAAGUAAGAUCUUAUUAUUCCCACGAAACUAGUUGAGACAUUUAAAAAUAUUCUGGUUUUGGAGAGUGGUAAUAAGAGAAUGACCUUGUCUUAUAAACUGCUGGUAAGAGUGUAAAUUGAGUAGCACCCUUCUGGAGGGGAGUCCAGUGAUAUCUAUUUAAAGCUUUAAAAAC